CGUGUAGGCGGCCCCUUAAGUUGGCUGUGAAAUCUCCCGGCUCAACCGGGAGAGGUCGGCCAAAACUGAGGAGCUUGAGGGCAGCAGAGGGAGGUGGAAUUCCCGGUGUAGCGGUGAAAUGUGUAGAUAUCGGGAGGAACACCAGUGGCGAAGGCGGCCUCCUGGGCUGCCCCUGACGCUGAGGCGCGAAAGCGUGGGGAGCGAAGCGGAUUAGAUACCCGCGUAGUCCACGCCCUAAACGGUGGACACUAGGUAUAGGGGGUAUCGACCCUCUCUGUGCCGAAGCUAACGCUCUAAGUGUCCCGCCUGGGGACUACGGCCGCAAGGCUAAA
rnacentral:rRNA from 1 species